GGCGGUGCUGCUUUGGCAAAAUCUGCUCUAGUCUCCACCAUCGGUGUCUUUUCCUUCAUUGCUGCGAAUCCUAUCCCAGCAGACAUUGGAGUCGGAGCAGCCGGAGGAGGACCCCCAGUUCCAGUCCCUAUAGAGUGAAAGGUCCUCACUUCUUGCUCUUUCUUUUUCUUUUUCUUCUUCUUCUCUUCUGCCUUGAUCUCUUCAUCAAAAUUAUUGGUGUUGAUUUCCUGAAAUGGAGUUUCCUGGAAUUGGGUUUCUUGAAACGGGGAUUUCUCUUCAUUUUCAGGAAUGCUUGUAGGAGUAGGACGUACUGGCUCUGCGUGAUGUGAAGCACCAUCAUGCACUGCAUAAAGUUUCAAUGCAAUAUCACCUUUGACAUGAGAAAAAAGGCCAAGUUUAUCAAGCGG
rnacentral:lncRNA from 1 species